rnacentral:tRNA from 1 species
GCCGCUGUAGUUCAGCCUGGUUAGAGCGCUACAUCUUUAGUGUAAAAGUCGUGAGUUCAAAUCUCGCCAGCGGCA